CUCGGGGGGCGGGCCGCAGUGGCGCUGAGCAGGCUGCAGCGGAAUGGCGGCGAGCACAGAGCGGCAGGCAGGCGGGCAGGGCGUUUCGGGCCAGAGGGAAGCCUCCCGCGUUCCCCGGCAGAGCUGCGUUCUUUGUCUCUCGCAGCAGAGGAGUUUGGGCAGCUGCAGGGAUGGAUUUGCCUGCACUCAAGCUGCUGCUGCCAGAGCCCCUCCGUGUCAAUCUGUGCUGCCGUUGGGUUCUGCAGCUCUCUCCAGCAAGCAUGGCAUGAGCUGAAGGAGCAGCAGGAGCAGCAUGGCCGUUCCCCAGGCAGCAGGAGGGUUCAGCCCAGCACCAGCUCAUGCGGGAGGAGCAGAUGCUGAGGAACAUCCCCCACGAGACGCAGGUGGCCAAAGAGGCUGGGUCAGGUAAGAAGCCCAGGAUAAGUUUGAGACUGCUGUAGUAUAAGCCACAAAGUUUGACACCCUUCCCAUUGGGUGUUACUAUCUUCUUACAAAGGAUAAUGGAAUGGUGUGGAUUGAGAGAGCUUUAGAGAUCCUCUGGCUCCAACCCCCUUGCUAUGGGCAAAGGCACCUUACACUAGAGCAGGUUGCUCAAGACCCCAUCCAACCUGUCCUUGAACACCUUGGAGAGAGCAUCCAUGACUGUCCUGGGCAACCUGUUCUAGUGUUUCACCACUCUUACUGUCAAGAAUGUCUUCCUAAUCUCCUGUCUAAGUCUCCCCUCUCUCAGCUUCAAUCCGUUCCCUCUCAUACUGUCACUACAAGCCCUUGUAAGAAGUCCCUCCUGAGCUUUCUUGUAGGCCCUCUUUAGGUACUGGAAGGCUGCUCUAAGGUCUUCCCAGAGCCUUCUCCAUCCAGGUGUGUUUACCAAAUCAUUAUCUGUUAUCACAUAACCCUCUUAACUCGUAAGAGUUUAAUCACCAUUUGCAGUGUUUUAAUUUUGUCUUCCAAGUUGUGUUAGCAAUUUUUUUCUGACUUCAAAUAUGUAGAUUGUUUGUAGUAAUGCACUUCUGUUGCUGUAGCUGUAUGGAAUUAUCAGUGUCUCUGCCUAUAAAUGGUUUAUGCUUCUCCUGAAUAUGGAGGUCUCUGCUUUGUCUCUCAGCUGAUGUUGAGCCAUGAAGGUUCCAAAUGCGAUUUGUCUUUUAAGGCUGUUUAAAAUCCUGCUUUGUAACUUGAAAAGCCUGAGCUGUAAUUCUAAUCAGUUCUUUUAUCCCUGAUGUAGACAUAAUAAGCUCCUCCUGUAAUGUUGCUAAGAGUGUGUAUGGAUUUGUGCCCUGUGGUAGCUGGACACUGGUUUGUACAUACAGUGCUUCAGUUGGUGGCAAUGGGCCAACAGUGACACUGUGAUUCAUGCAUGGAGUUUGUGAUGUGUCAGCAGCUUCCAUAGCCCCAUCACAGGCUCAGAGCAAACCUUCAGCCUGUACUGAACUGGUUAGAUUAGAGGGACUUGAUAGCUGGGCCAGCUGCUGAAACCUGUGCUGUUAGCACUGUAUGUGUUUAGCUGUGGUGUCUGGAGCCUCACUGUGUUUAGGAGCAUUCAGACAAGUGGCCUAACUGGAUGGAAAAAAUGCUGUUUUUCAUCUUUAAAUGAAUGGUUCAACAAGUUCCAGAAAACAUAAGUUUUCCCCAUGAAGAAGAGAAGAUAUUGGAGCUCUGGAAAAAUCUGAAUUGUUUCCAGGAGUGGCUAAAACAAUCAAAGAAUAGACCUAGGUUUAACUCCUAUGAUGGCCCUCCCUUUGCUGCUGGCCUUCCACUCUAUGGCCAUAUUCUUGCAGGAGCCAUUACAGACAUAGUAACUUGAUUUGCUCAUCAGAGUGGUUUUCAUGUUGACAGAAGAUUUGGCUGGGCUUGUCAUGGCUUCCCUGUGUGCUCCCAGGAAUAUGAGAUUGACAAGACCUUGGGCAUUAAAGGGCCGGAGGACGUGGCAAAGCUGGGGAGUAAAGAACACAACAACCAGUGCAGAGGAAUUGUAAUGAGAUACUCAAAGGAAUGGGAGUUCAAUGCCACAAGAUUGGGACAGUGGAUUGAUUUUAAAAGUGACUAUAAAACUCUCUCCUGAAUUCAUGGAGUCUGUCUGAGAGUGCCACAGGACAGAUUUCCAUUUGGAUGGAAUCCAGGCUGGUAGCACUGCACAAACCUGAAAGUGAAUAGGAAAUACUUGACAGGUUUCCUGGCAUUGCUCUUAAAGGCAAGAAAUAUAAACACUCUUUGACUAUUUUGUUCAGGCUUUAAAUCCUUUCACAAUAAGAAUUUAGUGAUAACUGAUAGUUUGUGUGCAGACAAAUGAUCCCAUGUGGCUAAAUCAGCAGUGUUCUCUCGGCUUUGUCUGUUGAGCUUGUUGUCUGCCUAUGAGAUCUACACAUGUUUCACUCACAAGAGAAGGGCAGACACCUCAGAUAAAAGAGGUGUGAAGAGUGCAAAGAUAAAGGUGCCUUUGCUGUGGUAGUAGACGGUUACGUGAAGGAGGAAGAGGGCACAGGCGUUGUACACCAGGCUCCCUAUUUUAGUGCUAUACAGCAGCACUGAGUUUUCAUCAGUGAGCUGUUUAAUAGCUUCUGCUUCAUUCAUUUGGUCUGAUACUCUGCUGAUAGACAAAGCUGUGCCAAGCUGGUUUGUAAGAGUGGAACACAUGGUGGAGAAACUGCUGGAAUGUAAUGCCCAAUGCUACUGUAUGUGACCUUGCCUGAGUUGCCUGCUGUUGUGGUCUUCAAAGAUGGAGCUUCCUUUGUUUCUGAUGGUAAGUAAAAGUGGAUAUUGGCCAUAUCAUGGAAUCAGCCAGGCUGGAAGAGACCUCCAAGAUCACCCAGUCCAACCUAGCACCCAGCCCUAACCAAUCAACUGGACCCUGGCACUAAGUGCCUAACAACCAGCCUGUACCUCUCUUGGCACAACUUGAGACUGUGUCCCCUUGUUCUGUUGCUGGUUGCCUGGCAGCAGAGCCCAACCCUAGCUGGCUACUGCACUGCUCCUGUGCACUGCGGCCCUCCUCUGGACCUGCUCCAGCAGGUCCUUGUCUCUUCUGUUGGAGGUUCUGUAGCUGUGUGCAGUACUCCAGGUAGGUGUCACCAGAGCAGGGCAGACUCAUAGACUCAGAGUCAAGCAGGUUGGAAGAGAGCUCCAAGCUCAUCCAGUCCAAUCUAGCCCCCAGCCCUGUCCACUCAACUAGACCAUGGCACUAAGUGCCUCACCCAGGCUGUUCCUGAGCGCUUCCAGACACGGUGACUCUGUGGUGCCACAGCAAAAUACUCCAGGUGGGCCCUCAAGGGUAUUCUUUGAGCUGUCAUGGAAGGGCUGUGCUUGCCUUCCUCUUCGCUCUAUUGCCUUGCAACCAGUCACCCACCAAAGAAAAGUUCACUCAGUGACCUCCUUGAUCUGCAUUUGAUUUAGUUUUACUUUUGAAGCGGCCUGGAGAAGGAAAUUUUGUCAAAGAGAAACAAUUUUAAACUGCUUUUUGUGAUGUGACCUGUCUGCUUUUGCCACCCCUGUCAAAACACACAAGCCUUGUUUCAAUCCAGGCUCCUAAUUCACUUUGCACAAAUCUUACUCUCUUAAAAUGUAUUAGAAGGGUUUUUGUAAACCAGUCAGUGCAGAGGCCCUGCAAGAGACUGGAUAUUGUUUUAUGUGCAGCUUACCAUUGGGCAGGAAAGUGCUGUCAGUCACAGUUCCCUUCCCAUGUCACAUUCCCUGCUGGGAGAGGAUUGUUUGUCCUUGGUUUGGGUGAAACUAAUCAGCCAAUCAGCACUGCAUGCUGUGCUCUAAUACACUUUUUGUUCAACAGCUGCAAAUUGCUUUAGCAGCUUAGGAGUGACAUUUCUGGAAAGGUGAGAGACCUUGUCUGGAAACAGUAGAGGGUUAAAAAUAGGCUUCUCUAGGCUGAAAUAAAUGUUAUUGCCCACCUCACAGCAGCAACAGAAGAACACAUUCUGCUUGCUUGCUUGCUUUCUCUUUUGUUGUCAGAGUGUGAAGAUGGUGAUUUGUCAUCCUGGAUAAACAGAGCAAGAUUUCAAGGGUAUCUUCAUGUGGAUGGCUUUACACUUCAUGAACUUGGAGACAGAGGAAAACUUGUGGCUAUUGCAGUCAUUGAUGAUAAAAACUCUUCAGUGGAACAUACCAGGAACAGAACUGAGUGUUGGUGACAGUGUGGGAGAAGUUAGCUGAUAUGAUGUAGAGAACUUGGGGAAGUUUGUUAGAUCUGAAGAGAUGCCAGGGUGA